GUACCUGUAGAGCAAUGGAUAGCGCGUUGAACUUCUGAUUCAAGGUCAUGGGCUCGAAUCCCAUCUGGGAUG